AACCCAUGUUAAGGAUAUUUCUGUAGGAGAUCCUAGAAUCUAUCCCAUGUUUCAUAAAGAGAUUCUAAUUCCAUUUGCACAAAAGAAGAUAUUUUAUUCCUAAGCUU